GAUGAACGCUGGCGGCGUGCCUAAUACAUGCAAGUCGAGCGAACGGACGAGAAGCUUGCUUCUCUGAUGUUAGCGGCGGACGGGUGAGUAACACGUGGAUAACCUACCUAUAAGACUGGGAUAACUUCGGGAAACCGGAGCUAAUACCGGAUAAUAUUUUGAACCGCAUGGUUCAAAAGUGAAAGACGGUCUUGCUGUCCCUUAUAGAUGGAUCCGCGCUGCAUUAGCUAGUUGGUAAGGUAACGGCUUACCAAGGCAACGAUGCAUAGCCGACCUGAGAGGGUGAUCGGCCACACUGGAACUGAGACACGGUCCAGACUCCUACGGGAGGCAGCAGUAGGGAAUCUUCCGCAAUGGGCGAAAGCCUGACGGAGCAACGCCGCGUGAGUGAUGAAGGUCUUCGGAUCGUAAAACUCUGUUAUUAGGGAAGAACGUAUGUGUAAGUAACUGUGCACAUCUUGACGGUACCUAAUCAGAAAGCCACGGCUAACUACGUG
rnacentral:rRNA from 1 species